GUAGGUGAACCUGCGGAAGGAUCAUUAGCGAGUAUGGCCCUCACGGGUCUAUUUACUACACACACAUUGUGAACUAUUCAGGGAGGUUGAACUGUGAAAGCUCAGGCGAUUAGCGGCGAGGCCACCCUUUGCAAACACGUUUUAAAGUAUGAAAGUCUAUAUUGAAUAAUCAAUUAAAACUUAUAACAACGGAUCUCUUGGCUCUCGCAUCGAUGAAGAACGCAGCAUCUGACUGACUCGGGCAUAAGUC
rnacentral:misc_RNA from 1 species